UUUCCGUAGGUGAACCUGCGGAAGGAUCAUUAUAGUAUUCUAUUGCCAGCGCUUAAUUGCGCGGCGAUAAACCUUACACACAUUGUCUAGUUUUUUUGAACUUUGCUUUGGGUGGUGAGCCUGGCUUACUGCCCAAAGGUCUAAACACAUUUUUUUAAUGUUAAAACCUUUAACCAAUAGUCAUGAAAAUUUUUAACAAAAAUUAAAAUCUUCAAAACUUUCAACAACGGAUCUCUUGGUUCUCGCAUCGAUGAAGAACGCAGC
rnacentral:misc_RNA from 1 species